AGUUUAAAAAAACAAAGACUGCAAAGAAGCAAAGAGCAAUGAGGAAAAUCAAGAAGACCAUAGGGGUCCGUCCCCUUCUUAGAAGGGUUUGUGGUAUAGCUGGAUAUCAUGGGGCAGGAAUUCUGCAGCAAUAAUGGACAGAGAGAUGAGGAGAGGCCUUAUUGAACCCUCCAUCACUGAAUCACAAGAAAAUAUUUUAGCUUCUGUAAAAGACUGAGCACAUGACUCAGAGAGGACUAAACCAUAGAACCCGAGAUUAUGAGACAUAGUUCAAGUUGUUCCCUUGGCUCCGAGUUCCCUGAACAAGAUUCAUUUGUUCCUUCAAGGUUCAAAUGAGGCACCAUCUCUUGUGUGAGUACCCUGGGCAUCACAUGAUUGUUAGGCAGUUGUGUCACAGCAAAUAGUAGUGAGCUGAGUUCUUAGGAGACUUGGAGGAUCUCUAAGUCAGGAGGUAGUUUUACUCCCAUUUUAGUAAGUUAAGCCCCAGGCACAUUUAAGGUCCUUAGCCCUGUGCAGUUAAUGAGGAAGUAAGGGACAGGGAUGUUUCAGAUGAUGUCUCAGAUGACAUCGCUCUCCCUGCCUUCUUCUGUGGUAGAAGUAACUGACCACCUCAUCACGUCAGGCUUACAAGAGGAGGAUGCCCCCAGAGUGCAGCUGGUACCGGUCUUUUUGCCAUGCAACUUACUGGCUGGCUGUGGUGGUGGCGAAUGCAGAGAGGGGGAGUGAUAGCAUGAUGUUUUACUCAGGAGGCACAGCACCAAAGCACAUUUUUAAUGAUUUACCAGUUCUACUUGACUGAGCCUGCACCCUGUAAGUAGAUCAUAUGAUCAACGAUCACAAGUUAAACUGCUUUUGUUGCUCGCAAGGCAUGCAUGGUAGGCCGUCUGCAAGGCACCAGGCCCUCGCACGCAGCUGUGUGUAAGACAAGGCAAGGUUGCGUACGACAGGCAGUUAAUGGCUCAUACCAGCAAGCCUUGGACUUCAGUGGGCACAUGCAGCUGAAUUUUAAGAAGGUGAAUGACCUUGCAGUUCUGAGCACUAACUUUGUACUUUUACCUAUUUGUACCAGGAUAAAUAAACAUUUGCAGCAAGCCAAAGGGCCCAGAAAGCACUAUUGUAGCCGUGGGCUAAUCCCUUUCUUUCUGGGUGAAAGACUUCAAAACAAACAGGUAUAGGAGGUAUAGGAGGGAAUCAUUUUCUGCCUCAAGUAGCACCAAGGUAAAGAGGGGCAAGGGUGAUAAUAAUAAUGACUUCCAUUUCUUAGAACUUUCAAAAGUUACCUGCUUCAAUCCUAUGUAGCUGUCCCAUGUAGGGCUCUGCAUCCUCAGCAGAGAGAGAAUGGUUCCAGGCAGAGCUCAACAGAACUGCCCCGGGGCCAGGAAUAAGCACCACAAUGUUGCACUAAAGUUUUAAAAGGGCUGAUUCUCCCAAUGGCUGUCACUCGAAUUAAAAUAGAAAAGCAGGCUGAUGUUAAAUUCUUUCCUGCUUCUCCAUCAGUUCUGCUGGUCAAGAGUCAGAUCAUAGUAGCUAGGCAUCUACCACAAAUUGCCUGUCCCAGCUUCCUGCUCUGAAUAAGCUGACAUGUACUGGAUUCCCAGUCCAGGGCUUGAGAUACCUCCCAGAGAGUUGGGACGGCUGGAGUCAUCCCACAUCCUCCGAAACUGUUACUGACCACCCAAAUGCCUCCCAAGGAGCAGAGUAUUUGUGAUUUACAAUGUGAGGGGGAGCUUGGGUAAUGCUGUGAUUUUAAGAACUCGUCAAUCAGUUGAGAUUAAGAUAACAUUUAUUGCGACAUAAACUGAGAUUGCCGUGAGAGCAGGCAGAAGAGAUCUGGGGAACAUUUAAGACAUUUCACAGGCCAUGAAUCAACACAGGGCCAUUUGGUGGGCUAAGAUCUCUGGAGCACAGAGCUUGAUGCUCUUACACAGUUUUGACCCCACACAUGAGCCAUAGUGGUUCUUAGCCCAUCACUUUGCCACAUGAACCAUGAGGUCACAGUACCUCCUUCCAAAACCCUACUGAGCUUCUACUGGAUGUCAGGAGCCACCUGAGACCUGCAAACAAGCACACUGAGCUAGAUGCCCACUAGGCAUCAUUUAUGCAUGUCCGAUCGAAUGAGCCAGUAAAUAAGGAAACUUGCACUCUAAAGAUAGGUGCCAUCUGCCAAGCCCAACCAAUCUUUAAAUGGCUGCAAAUACUUUCCUCCCUGUGAUUCAGUUAAUAUAGGUUGGUCUAAUGAGGCUGGUUUAUAUCUAUGAGACAAAACAGCACUCCUUGGUCCAAUAUACAGUUUUAAUAAACUUUAUUAAAUUUCCAUUGAUCCAUAUGCAAAAUAAUUUGUUUACAAUUUGAACUCAGCCUACGAAAUGGUGUCUAACUCAAUAAAGGAAGGGGCUGGGAGACAACAGUUGUCCACACGGCUAUUAACACAUUAUGCCACGAAAAAAAAAAAACCCUCAAUAGUUUAAAAAAGGAGUCAAUGUUAACCCCUUGAACAUCUUUAAAACAAGAGACCAAUCUGAUGUAAGACUGUGAAGUCAGAGACCUAAGGAAUGAUUCUUUUCUACUUUGUGAGUGACCAUGUUUCACUGGAUUUAUUAGUUCUAGGAACCUCAAUGCAUGCAAACUUAGUCCCAGGCAUCCAUGACAACAGAGUGUGGGGCUUUCAAAAAUAUUCGAAUACUAGGCAAAUUUGGCUUGUUUGAAAGUUGAUAUAAUUUGCAUGCCAUCCAAUACUUCAAGUACUUAAAAUAAAUCACUUGUAUUCCACAUGAGUCCUGAGGCCAGGAUCAAUGAACCAUCGUUUCGAGGCACUUGUAUCUGGUGAUCACUGACUGGUAACCCAAUCAGAAAAUUAAUAGCAAGUAUCCACUGAGUACUAAGGAAAAUGAAGUCCCUAAUCCCAAAUUUUAUUGUGGAAGUUGGAAGACACAAGGAGGAGAUUAGGUUACAAAGAUGGCUUCCGUGUUAGGAAUACUUGCUAAGCAGUCAGGAAGACUGGGGUUCAGCUCUCAGCCCCAGUGUAGCAAGCUCUGUGACCCACGCAGGCCUCAGCUCCAAUAUGGGUAGAUUGGGAAAGACUGUUCGAGUUUAAUAGGUUUCAACAGAGCUUAGAAAAUAAGAGCCCUAGGUUCAGGGCGAGAGCUUGUGUCAGAGUGACAGAAGAGGACUUCGGAUGCCUUCUUUUGGCCCCCAUAUAUGCAGGUACACACACUCAGGAGGCUAAGCUAAAGGUUCAAGAGCUCAAGGCCAGGUUGGACUAUUAGCAAAAUACUGUCUCAAAAAAACAAAACAAAACAAAGAAUAUUUGGUUUUAACAGAUAGAAGCAAGUAUCAUGCAGCUUUUUAACAUAUGAAUUCAUUGAGAUAUACAUGCAAGAAGAAUAUAUAGGGAUAGUGAAAUCCAUCACACUUAUUUUCAUACUUCAGUAUAAACAAACAAAAAUAACUAAAAAUGUAUAGGAAAACCUCGAGCAAGAUAAAUUCAAAUUAGAAAGGGUCUUUACAUUCUGUAGGUUGUUCUGCCUGUCUUUGUACAUGAUUGAAUAUGUUGCUUGAAUAGUGACAUCCCUGAAGUGGUCUUCCAGUUCUAAUAUUAGCUCUUCCAGCAAAAAUAACAUUCAUAGCUCUGCCAGGUAACAUGUGGUUAUGUUUACUAAGAGUCCUUCAUGAUAUUUCUUUUUUCUACCUUACACUCAAACUUCCCUUUCUAUUACCACUCACCUGGAGUCCUAGGUUUCUGCUUUACAAACCAAAAAGCCUCAUCCAUGUGAUAAGUCUUUUAGCACUUGAAAGCAGAUAUGAUCUAUAACCCCAACCUCAGAUAUUCUUGGCAAAGUAUUUCCAUAGCUCUCAACAGAUUGGCCCUCCUCAUAAACACAGCCAUUUUUCUGUUUUCCUAAAGACUGAAACCAUGAGCUGACUCUAGUCCUCUAAGUGACUGUGAACCAUUUUGGAUCUCAGUGACCCUCACUUUGACUCAAGGAAGCAAAUCUUUCCAAAUUAAUAUUUGGGGGUACAUAAUAAAUCUUAAAUAUUCCUUUGAUGUGAAACACUGCCCAGCCAGACUUCCCAAACACAUGUUCCUGCAAUGAGCAUUUUAUAUUGAUGCACAGCUAGCCUUCAAACUUAUAAUCCUAUUGAACUGCUUGGUUGAUGUCAGAUAAUACCUUAGUUGAUGAGACCACUUGAGCCACCACCUAAACUUUCUGGUAUGUCCUUUUUCUACUUAACUUUGUCUUGUAAAAUUUAGCUCCUUAAGAUUAUAUUACUAAAGAUAUUUACUAGGGUGGAGAUAAGAAGAGGUUCAAGUCUGAAGUCAAGACAUAUGGAUUAGGCUUAGUGCUUAGUCAAAGAUAUGAGAUCUAUUUCCCAUACAUUUUGGGCAGUGGGAAGACAUAUACCAAAAGAUGACUUAACCAUGGAAAAGGAACAACUUAUAGGAGCCAUGCUAUUUGAGUGUGUUGUGUAUAUGUGUGUGUUGAUAUGUGAGCUAUAUGAGUAUAUGACCGUAUAUAUGUACAUGUACAUAUACAGAGGCAUGUGAAGAGUGGAUGUUAACAUCAGGUGUCCUUUCUCAAUCUCUUUCCACAGGAUUUUAAAGCAUCUCUCUCACUGAACUGGUAGCUCAGGGAUUCAGUAAAAAUAGCUACCCGCUCACCUACUGUAUUUGCAUCCUUAUCCCUGGGGUUGGAGUCACUGGGCCUUUCCAAUGGGCACAGAAUACAGCCUGACUCCAGCCCCAAGGUGUAAAAGAAGCAUGGAAAUUUCUCUAAAGAACAGAUGUACACCUGGUCAGGACCGGCAGAAACGAGGAAAGUCUUCAGAGGUCAUUUUACAUAAGAGAAAAGAGAUCAAAAACUUCAAUGCAUUUACUUAUGUUUUAAGAAGUUAGUGUUUAAGAACAUUUCAGUUUUGCAUGGUGACUUUUGUGUGUAAUCCAGAGUCAAGGGGAUUAAGAGAGGGGACUGAGACUUUGAAGACAGCCUAGGCUGCAUAGCAAGAGUGCUUCAACAAUAAUAAUUCGGUCUUACUGGGGACCUUAGAUUUUCAACCAAGCCUUACCAAGGAAGCAAAUUCACUCUAGAAUUGAGUUAAGCACUUAAGGAAACAUUUUAAAGAGCUAAUGUACUAUCUUUAAAUCUCUAAGCCAGCUGAAGGAUUAGGCCCAUUAAGAAGAUUAUAACAAGUAAUUGGCAAUUUGAAGAGUAUUCAAAACAUUGCACAGGUAUAUACAUGAUUCUGCCACAAGUCCAAGUAACUGUGCAGUAAGGGAAAGUGUGCAGGAAUAUGGACAGAGGUGCAGACUUAGCACUACUUAUAACUUGAUUUCGUCCUGAAGUUUUCAAAGUAUUUGUAAGGUGUACACAGGUAUGGAAACCAGAAGAAGUAUUGUGAGACCAUUAUGUAAAUGCUUCUUUCCCACUCUCUCAAAAGCCUUCACUACCAUUUGGGAAAAUUCCCAUUUCCUCUUUUACUGGUGAUCUGUUUCUUUCUAAUACUCUUCAAAAUCUAAGACAUGAGACAUGGUACCACCAGAGGCUUCAAACUUUUCAGAACCUAAAUGGUUACUUACAGAAUAAUUUAUCUAUCAAGACAACUGAUUGUCCAUUUUAUUCUGUCAGUUGUGAAGCACUUUUGAGAACUAGCCAUGGGGUUUCUGUCAGUAUCCUGACAUUGUGUCUAUGUCAAGUCCAACACUUGUUGCAACAAGUCCUAUUGCAAACACCAGAUCACAGUUACACUGAGUGUGUCCAAACACCCUCUUAAAUAGGUAGAAGAUACAGACUUCUCUACAUCCUUUAACAUGUACACGUAGGAGUGUCAUUUGUAUGCUGAUGACCAGAAGUCUACCUGAGGUAUAUUCCUGAGUUAUUUUCCACUUUCUUUUUUGAGAUGGCCUAUUUCUGGCCCGGAACUCAACAAGUAGGCUAACUAGCCAGUGAGCCACCAGUGAUCUACCCAGCUUUGCCUCUUCAAUUCUGGGAUUACAAUGCUGUGCCAUCAUGCAAGGCUAUUUUCCUGGGGCCCUAGGGAUUGAACUCAGAUCCUUAUGCUUGCACAACAAACACAUCACAACUAAGCAAUCUUCUGAGUCUAGCAGUGCCCAGAUCUACUUGUAAUUCACCUGCUUAUACUACCAUGUAAAGUAAAAUUUUCAGUGACUAAAAUGUAACACCAGUUGAGUUGGAUGGGGUUAAAAAUGAAAGAAAAACCAAACAUUAGCAAUUGUUCUACAACAAUGAGAAUUCUCAUUCUCUGAGGCCAAUUCUGCUACUCUGCUGAUCUAGCAGGUACAACUUAGGCCAUCGAAAAGAUGGUCAUUUUUUUCCUGUCUGAACACAGUAAAAGCUUGGAAAUAGAAAACAAUUUAGUGAAAUUCAUGUUCAGUUUUUGUUUCUUUUCUCCAAAUUACCUGUUUAAAAAGAAACCCAGAAAUUUCUACUUCAGCCAAAUAGGAACUUAAGGUCUACCCUUUUUAGAGAACGCACCCAGUGAGUAUGUCCAAGCACAGGGAAAACCAACAUCUUACUUCUACUGUUCUACCAUCUUACCUGGAAAAGCUAUUGGUAAGUAAUCCAUUUAUUUAAUUCUUCAGCAUGUCCUUAUUAGAUGUCAGUGGUUGCCUCAUUUCUGGAGGAAAUGUGUUUUAUAGGGGAAUUUUUAUUAUGUUGGGCAGAGACCAAAACUUCAUUUAAUUUGCUUUGGCUUAGAGAACCAUCAUGUGUUCUGAAUGACUGGUUCAGGAUGAAUCCAUCCCUUUUUGUUUCUAAGAAUCUCUCUUUCAGAUAUAUAGGGGAAAGCAUCUUUAAUUCACAGAUUCUCUAGUGUGAACCACAGUUUCUCAUACUGAAGUGACACUAGGAGUUGGAGGUAUGAGUCUUGCCCUAGGAUUAUAAAGAUUCAUUUAUUUUUGAUUUAUGAGUAUGGGGGCAUUUUUGCCUGCCUGCAUAUUUGUACACUGUUUGUAUACAAUUCCCUUGGAUUCUAGAAGAGGGUGUCAGAUCCUCUCAAAUUAGACUUACAGAUAGCUGUUAGUUGCCAUGUGGGUGCUAUGAACCAUACCCACAUCCUUUGCAAGAACAAGUGCUCUUUAACACUGAGCCAUCUCUUCAGCCCCCUAUUACAGUACUUUUAAAAUGCAUUAAGGAAUUUUAUCAUUGAGUAGAGUUUAAGAGUCAGUUUACUCUUCUGGGCUAAGGUUUCUGAAGAUUAAAUCAAAAUGGAGUUAAUUAUGUCAAAGGUUUAUGUCAACAAGCCACAACUAAGAUAUUGUCUGGUCUUCUAGAAAAUUGGGAGAGUUGAUCAUUGUAUUCCCAAACAUGCCAGCCUGACCAGGAAUGACGAGGAAGCCCUGUGUGCUGUAACUAAACAGGAGAAGGCACUGUCCCUACAAGGAAUUAAUGUAAAUGGAUGCUGACCAGGUUGUAGCGUCUAUUAUGCUAGUUCCUAGAUUGUGCUUAUUAUAUCUCAUGAACAGCUCUCCUGUACACAAAGAACACUAAAGAGGUGUCUCUAAUGUUCAGAUUGGACACUGCUCAAUUCAUCAAUUACUAAUAGAAGCCAGUUACAACACAAAUGGAAAUUGAUUGAAAUUUUGUUGUGCCAUCCCUGUCCAAAAAA
rnacentral:sRNA from 1 species